rnacentral:rRNA from 1 species
UACCAGCACCCCGAGUGGUCGGGACGUUUUAUUGGGCCUAAAGCAUCCGUAGCCGGUUCUACAAGUCUUCCGUUAAAUCCAACUGCUUAACAGGUGGGCUGCGGAAGAUACUAUAGAGCUAGGAGGCGGGAGAGGCAAGCGGUACUCGAUGGGUAGGGGUAAAAUCCGUUGAUCCAUUGAAGAACCACCAGUGGCGAAGGCGGCUUGCCAGAACGCGCUCGACGGUGAGGGAUGAAAGCUGGGGGAGCAAACCGGG